UUCUCAUUAAUGGUAAAAAUGUUUAUGUAAUCCUAUUGAAAGACCCCCAGAGUGGGGAGACCCUCACUCAAGUCUUGGGAUAAGCUGAUGUCCCAAUAAUAUAAGAGAGACU
rnacentral:pre_miRNA from 11 species